GCCUUCGUGGUGUAGUGGUCAGCACGCUCGGUGCUUAAACGAGAAGUCAGUGGUUCGAGUCCUGGUGAGGGCA
rnacentral:tRNA from 1 species